rnacentral:tRNA from 1 species
GGGGAUGUAGCUCAGCUGGCUAGAGCGCAGCAUUCGCAUUGCUGAGGUCGUGGGUUCGACUCCCAUCAUCUCCACCA